rnacentral:rRNA from 1 species
UUUGGUGGCGAUAGCGAAGAGGUCACACCCGUUCCCAUACCGAACACGGAAGUUAAGCUCUUCAGCGCCUGUCUCUUAUACACAUCUCCGAGCCCACGAGAC